rnacentral:sRNA from 1 species
GCCAGGCGCGGUGGCGCACACCUGUGAUCCUAGCAGCUCAGGAGGCUGAGGCAGGAGGAUCGUGAGUUCAAAGCCAGCCUCGCCAAAGUGAGGCCCUAAGCAAUUCCGUGAGACCCUGACUCUA